UACGUAGGGUGCGAGCGUUGUCCGGAAUUACUGGGCGUAAAGAGCUCGUAGGUGGUUUGUCGCGUUGUUCGUGAAAACUCACAGCUUAACUGUGGGCGUGCGGGCGAUACGGGCAGACUGGAGUACUGCAGGGGAGACUGGAAUUCCUGGUGUAGCGGUGGAAUGCGCAGAUAUCAGGAGGAACACCGGUGGCGAAGGCGGGUCUCUGGGCAGUAACUGACGCUGAGGCACGAAAGCGUGGGUAGCAAACAGG
rnacentral:rRNA from 1 species